GGGCAGCGGUGGAGUGUCUUGGCGCAUAAUCCACAUGCCCAGCACCAAUAAGAUGGUCGUCUGCAGGGGAGUUGCAAUAGGCAGGAACGAGGAGGAACCAUCUGAUCUGCCUCUGAUCGUCUUGCAUGGUGGAUGAUGCCUGGGCCAGAAGGAUCAGGUGUGACUGGGGAUCAGUUUUAAAAUGGGAGGAAACAGGCCACUGGUGGAGCUGGGUUUGAGUGAGGAAGAGAACAGCAGUCUUGGUGUUCAGGAGCUUUGAGCCGCCAUUGUAAUGAUCAAGGUUGGAAUAACUGAAAGCCUGAUGGUGCACGUAACUCAAGGCAGAUAUCCUAUGGGCCUCUCAGAUGGUUUCCCACCCAAGUAUUGACCAGAUUGAGACCUGCUUAGCUUAAAUAAGGUUACUGCAUUCUGUGCCUUCAAACCAUGCCCUGGAACUGGGUUCAGAACAGCUGUGAAAAGUUCAAGAACCCACAGCAGAUAGGAUUAUUGAAUUUGUGAUGAGAUUUCUAUGUGAGAGAGAAAAAUGUUUUGUAAUGAGAUUUCUGUUUGUAUGAGAUAUCUAUGCUGCUACAUCUUCUCAGUGUGUGUGUGUGUGUUUUAAUUUUGUGGUGUUGUAUAUCUAGUUACCACCAUUCAUAUAAUUAUUGCUAUAUACUUUUUGUAUUUAUAUGUAUUUGUUUAUACAUACAGUGUAUUUAUAUGA